rnacentral:rRNA from 1 species
UACGUAGGGGGCAAGCGUUGUCCGGAGUUACUGGGCGUAAAGCGCACGCAGGCGGUCUGCUAAGUUUGGAGUGACAGUUGGUGGCUUAACUGCCAAAGUGCUUCGAAACUGACAGACUUGAGGGCUUCAGAGGGACACGGAAUUCCGGGUGGAGUGGUGAAAUGCGUAGAGAUCCGGAGGAACACCAAAGGCGAAGGCAGUGUCCUGGGGAGUACCUGACGCUCAGGUGCGAAAGCCAGGGGAGCGAACAGG